GUUCAAGAGACUCCACACAGAGAAAAAAAAUCAGUUUAGCACAGUACAAACAGAAUUCAUGGAUUUCCAAUUGUGUGCAUGUAUGUGUGCAUACGUACACAUAUACCUACAGCAAGAAGUCAAGGAUAACUUGCAUGUUUACUUGAUUCAUGCUCCAGUGUGUUGUUGUUUUUUUUCUUUUUUACAGCUUCUUACUUUGCCAGCCACUUCCCUUUAUCACUUCAAAGGUUGAAACAUUUAAAUGCUUGCAUUUAUUCCAAAAAUGAGCUCUUUAUGCAGUAUGCUACAGAGCUGCACAGAAACACUUUCCUUAAAUCCAUAAGAAGUUUGGAUAAAAAUGGAAAAUUGCAACACUUUAGGUGAGAACUGACAUAUAUUGCUUCAGUUUGGAAAUUUUACUUCUGACAUGCUUCAACAGGGCAGACCCACUGUCUACACUGUCUUCUGUGAUACACUUUGAUCCUGGGAAAAAGAGAGCUACAAAUGGCAGGAUGCACAGCUUCUCUAGGGAUCCCAGUAUACAAUAGAAAACAAGCACAGGAGGUACCCAAACUGAACUCUGCUUUCCCCUGUGGAGAUUUUGGAUUGCUUGUAGUGUGAACAGCUGACUAGAAUGACAAGGAGGGCCUUUACUUAGAGGGUCAUAUCCUUCCACAGUGUAAAUCAAGGUAGUUCUAUUGAUUACAGCAAAAUUGGACUUGAAUCACUCAAGAAACCACGGCAAGGGUUUUUGGGUUUUUUGUUUGUUUGUUUGUUUGUUUGUUUGCUUUUUAAGAGAAAUUCUGAAUGAGAGUGUUUGCAGCCCAACAUGUCUACUAGUGACAUGCCUGCUAUAAAAUGAUUAAUAUGAGGCCCUACCAACAAUGCUGAGGUAAAAAUCUGAGCCAGUUACUUUCUGAGAUUCAGCAUUAACAGCUCCAUUGUCUUCUCUUGCACAGCGUUUGCUUGUAACACAGUCACUGGUUUUCUCCAUCACCUCUUUCUCUGCCAUUUAACACCAUCUCAGAAACAUGACUUCACACAAUGCCUAUGCCUUAAAAGGCACUUUCAGUAUGCUCAUUCUUCAUAGUUACACUAUGUGCAGCUAAAAGCUUCAGUAACAGGAGAAUCUGAAAAGAAAACAAUUGAAAGCUGCAGCUGCAAAUACACCCUACCAUUUUUCCUGUGUCUGUUAGUUCCCAAAGGUAGCCCAAAGUUGGGCCCCUUGUAAUACUCCUUGAUGGCUUUUUUUUCUUUUUUUCUUUUUUUCUUUAAUAUAAGAAUCCCAUAUUUCAUGAAAACUUUCAAGGACAUGAAAAAUCUUCAGUGUGUUUUGAUUCAGGCAAUUUAGUUCUGUUUCUUGAACAAGAAACCUGGCUGAUUUCCUUCAGUUGUUCAGCUCAGCAGAAAAGGAGGGAGUUCUAAGAAAUAGCAAUUGCCAAGUGCUCCGCAGUUCUUUAGGUCCUUGAGAUUUAUUUCCAGGCAGUUUUUAAGUUUUGAGGGCAAAAGAGGAAACCCUUUGUGCUAUUCUUUCCUAAGACCACAUUUGGAUAAGCCGUAAUCACAAGAAAGAUGAUGGAAUCAAAGUUUACUGCUUGUAAACAAAACAUUCCAUAGUUGUUAGAGCUAUAUGGGAAAAUGAUAAGGAUGUCCUGUGCACAAUAAAGAAAAAUAACCAAGUUCCUAAA